GAAAAUCAGAUGUCAGUCAAAACUUACAUGUCAUACUGAAAAAGCAAAACUCAGAUGCUGUCUGCUCUUGAGGAGAGAUUUCUUUGCAGUUACACAACCCACCAGGUAUUUGGAGCCCAUGAGUAAUGUGCUUCUUCUUUGUUUGUAGAGUUGUUCUUGGUUGGAAGUACAUGCAGAGGAAGUGGUGAGUGGUAACAUCCCUGCCUGGAAGGAGCCCUAAGAAGUGCCUAAACUGCUUUUCUGUUUGCUCCUCUUCCCUUCGGAGUUUUAGAGGGGAACUCUGGAUGCUGGUGGAUCAGUGAGAAAAAGCACUUAUUUUACCCCUGACCUGAGCACUGAAGAGAUACCCUUUCACCACUGUUGCAAAUUCAUGCUUCCAAGAACUGGGUUCAGGCAUUAUUGUGAAAGACAGAAACCUUUCCUGAGUCAAUACUACUUUUGAAGAUAAAAUUGGGAUACAUAUUUGCAAUGUAUUUAACUCCAAAGAAACUAUCUGAGCUCUUAGCCAGAACUACCUUCCAGAUGCCCUUUUUCUACCACACUCCUCUUCCUUAGAGUAAGAGGACAAGCACAUGAUGUUGUUUGAAGCAAGAAGAUUAAAGAACGGCUGCCUGCUAACCCAACACUUGGAUUAGAACAAUCUUUUUAAUUCUUUAGUGUGAAGCUCGGGGAUCACAAUUUGAUUUUUCAUUCACGAAACUUUUGCAACUUGUCAUUUUCAUACCUGAGAUCUGGAGGAAAGCUUACUUUAAAUAGUUUCUAAAAUAGCCAUUAGCUCAGGAGAUAUGCAGCCAAGAGGUGCUAUGUGACAGGAGAUAUGCGUGUGACAGGAACUUUGCCUACACUACACUUUUUGGUCACAUGUUUUUUUUUUAAGGUGUCAUUUAAAAAGUUUGUUUUUUGGAAAUGAUUCUUCCCACUAUUCUUCUAUAGAGGGUCAGGGAGAUGUAUAAAUAAUUUCUGGGUUAGGUGCAGAAGAUACAUAUGCUGGCAAACAACUCUACAGUGUUAAAGCAGAUUGUCCUUUGGAGAUACUUUUUCAGGCUUGAGUUCUGUAUUUCUGGAUUUGACUCAGUGAAAAUCUUUAUUGAGUACCUAGCAGAUGCACAGCAGUCUGCUGAAAUAAUAGGGGUUGGGGGACUGCAGUCUAAUUGGAAGACAAGAAGGAUAAAGAGAGAACACCUAUACAUAUAGCACAAAGCAGAAUAAAUUAUAGUAUACAACAGGCUAUGGACUAUUGUGGAGCAAGAGAGCACUUUUUAAUAGUGGAGAUAGGAAAUGCAUUACCAAGGUGAUGGCAUUCUUGCUGGGUCACAAAAGACAGAUAGGAUUUUGGCAGGUUAGGAGCCAUUCUAAUGCAAGAGAAUAAUAAUAGAAAAAGCACAGUGGUCCAUUAAGGACAGAAGCAGGGAAAUAAGGGGUGGCUGGGAUUAUAGUGUGAUUUCUGAGCUGCGUGCACACAGCUGUCCAUGCACUCCUCCUUUUUUUAAAAAAAAUUAAUUAAUUUGUUUUAAUUGAAGGCUAAUUACUUUACAAUAUUGUGGUGGUUUUUGCCAUACAUUGACAUGAAUCAGCCACAGGUGUACCUGUGUCUCCUCCACUCCAAACUUCCCUCCAACCUCCCUCCCCAUCCCAUCCCUUUGGGUUGUCCCAAUGCACCAACUUUGAGUGCCCUGUUUGACGCAUUGAACUUAGACUGGUCAUCUAUUUCACAUGUGGUAAUAUACAUGUUUCAGUGCUAUUCUCUCAAAUCAUCCCACCCUUGCCUUCUCCCACAGAGUCCAAAGGUCUGUUCUUCAUAUCUGUGUCUCUUUUGCUGUCUCGCUUAUAGGGUCAUCAUUACCAUAUUUCUAAAUUCCAUAUAUAUGCAUUAAUAUGCUGUAUUGGUGUUUUUCUUUCUGACUUACUUCACUCUGUAUAAUCAGCUCCAGAUUUAUCCACCUCAUUAGAACUGACUCAAAUGCAUUCUUUUUAAUAGCUGAGUAAUAUUCCAUUGUGUAUAUGAACCACAACUUUCUUAUCCAUUCGUCUGCCAAUGGAUGUCUAGGUUGCUUCCGUGUCCUAGCUGUUGUAAACAGUGCUGUGAUGAACAUUGGGGUACACAUGUCUCUUUCACUUCUGGUUUCCUCAGUGUGUAUGCCCAGCAGUGGGAUUGCUGGGUUAUAUGGCAGUUCUAUUUCCAGUUUUUUAAAGAGUCUUCACACUGUUCUCCAUAGUGGCUGUACUAGUUUGCAUUCCCACCAACAGUGUAAGAGGGUUCCCUUUUCUCCACACCCUCUCUAGCAUUUAUUGUUUGUAGACUUUUUGAUAGUAGCCAUUCUGACUGGAAGGAGAUGGUACCUCAUUGUGGUUUUGAUUUGCAGUUCUCUGAUAGUGAGUGAUGUUGGGCAUCUUUUCAUGUGUUUGUUAGCCAUCUGUAUGUCUUCUUACGAGAAAUGUCUGUUUAGUUCUUUGGCCCAUUUUUUGAUCAGGUAUUUUAAGCCCUCCUCCUUGAACCAUUAUUUGCUCCAGAGUCACAGUGCCCCUGACUCUUUGACAGUCUUACCAGCCAUUGCUUCUCAGUCACCCUUCCUGGCUGUCCUUCCUUAGCCUGAGCUCUACAUGUUGAAAGCUUUCAGCAUUAGUUAUUUUUAACUUUCUUUGCCUAGGUCAGUAAUACUGAAAGUGUUAGUCCCUCAGUCGUGUCUGACUCUUUGCAACCCCAUGAACUGUAGCCAGCCAGGCUCCUUUGUCCAUGGGAUUCUCCAGGCAAGAAGUCAUUCCCUUCUCCAGGUGGGAGAAGGGGAUCUUCCCAGCCCAGGGAUCGAACCAGGGUCUCCCGCAUUGGAGGCAGAUGCUUUAACCUCUGAGCCACCAGGGAAGCCCAGCUUGCUAUCAUUUAUGUGUUAACAUCUACAUGCCAGUAACCUGCAAUUCAUUAACUUUCCCCAUGAUCCAUGCCCUGACCUCUAGGCUGUAUACCAAAUUGUCUAUUCAGCAUCUUCACUUUUGAGGCUAAAUAUCAGGUCUCUUGGUUCUUUGCCUGCCCCCUCUGUGGAAAUCCUGCUUGUCUACUAGUCUUCCCCAUCUUAGUUAAUGGGCCUGCCAUCCACCUAGUUGCUUAGCUCCUCCCCACCCCCAAAUGAAGACUUAGUGUAGAGACAGCCUUUUAUCUCACUCUCACCAUAUACUAACAAGUAUUUUGAGUCCAUUUCUACCCCACACCAAACAAGUGACUAUUGUUUUCUGUCAUGUUUUAUGUUAGUAAGAUUUGCCUCUAAAUACACAUGAAUUAUCUUUAUAAAAAUAAGCAUUAAAUUAAAAUAUUACUUUUAUAGAGAUUGUCUCUUGAUUCCUUUCUAGAAAUUAGCUCCUAAAUUACCCAGAAGACCCAUGUGUUCUUAAGUUUGCACAUGCACUGGAAUUUAUUUUUCCCAGCUUCUUUUAAGGGCCUUCACAUUUUCUUGCCCUUCGGACCUAGCUGCUGUGGAUUAGAUACAGAACUAUAUGUCCUUUUUUUAAAUUUGUUUCAUAGUAAAUUAACAAUAAUGAUGACAACAAUAGUAUUACAAAUACUAUUAAUGAUUAGCACCUAUACCUGUGGGCAUUGCAGAAAGCACUGUAGAUUCAUUGAUGGUUUAGCCCUCACAGUGACACUGGGAUGGAUACUAUUACUGUCCUCAUCUUAGACCUGCCCAAGGUUAUACAGCUGGAAAGUGGCAGAGAAACUGGAUACAGACUUAUUUCUGCCAGACUCCAAAGCCCAUGUUGUUUUUUUUCUUUUCAAAGCCCAUGUUUUUAACCAAAAAUAAUUUAAAAUUCUGAACCACUGAAUCUUCUUGUGUAAAGAAUAUUUUGUCUUCCACACUCAGUAAGAUAUAAAGAUUAGCUCUAGAAAGAUCAUAUAAUAUAAUAAAAUAGACCUUUUUACAUCACUUUUCCAUAGGCCUCAUGGUCUAUUUUUACAUAAUUUCCAAGGUAAUUUCACUUUGUGGAUGCUGAAAAAUUGCCAUUCAUUUAUUUUUUUCCUCUAACAUUCAUCUCUUCUCAGUCUCUCUAAUGGACAACUUCACUGACAUCAAAACUGUCAAGAGAGAAACCAGGGAGAAACAUGAACCUAAUGAGAGGAUGAAAUGAAUUAUUAGAAAAGUUUUUCAGAGGAAGAACAUUCCUUGCAGCCAUUUCAAUCUUUAUUUCUUUCUGUACUUGACAGUGAGAGUACCACAUAAGCCUGAAUAAAAACAAAACGAGAUUGACUCAGGAUAAACCAGGUUAUGCUAUGGUGACAACCACAAAAUCUCAGCACCUUAAAGAGUACUCACUCACUCAUGACAUAUGCAUAUCAAUGGCCACAUUUUAUGAUAUAUUCUCCAUCUAUCCAGCAUCUGUUUGUACCCCCUAUGUCUUCAUUCUGGGCACAAGGGCCAUAUUUGAGCUUCAUGUAGAAACUGCCUCAGGAGAAACCCCUGCACACAAAAGUUCUUUGAUUGAUUGAUUUUGUUUGAGGCUUUAAAUGCUUCCUUGGAAGACUGGUUACCCCCAGUACCUUUUUUCCCUUGGUUUUGGGCCAUUCUGCAGUUGGAAUAGUCUAAUUUGUGCUUCUUUGGCUCUGAGAGCCCCUUGCAAAAUUCUUCUCCAAUUUCUAUCAUGGGCUUUGGAGGCAGGUGAGUAGGCUUGAUCACUUACUAGUUGUGUGGCAUUGUACAAUAUCUUCUCUCAGCUUUAGUUUCCUUGUUUGAACAGGGCUGUUGUUCAUUAUUUGAACAGGGAAAAGUGGCUGAAUUUGAGAAAAAGCCAGGAGAUAAUAUUAGUAGCAGUUGUUGAUGACUUGGGUGAGGCAGAGGGAAGAGGCAAGGAUGUCUACCAGGUUUCUAUCUUGACAAAUGGGUGGUGAUGCAUUUUAUUGAGGAGGAGAUAAGAGAAGCAAUUUGUGUGUGUGUGUGUGUGUGUGUGUGUGUGUGUGUGUGACAGGGAGAGAUCAAUUUUGACAUAAGGAUUUGAGAUAUUUUCUAGAUAUAUAAACUGAAGUGUUGAGUUUAAGCUUUAAUGACACACAGGAGUGUGACCUGAACUGAUAAUAGAGGUUUCAAAGUCCUUUGCAUAAAGAAGAUAAUUGAAACUGUAGAAGUAGAUGACAGAUACUUCUCAAAAUGAGUAGAGAAGAGAGCUCAGGGUGAGCCCUAAGAAUUUCUUUAUUUAAGAAAUAAAUAAAUAGCGUAGAGGAUUCUUCCCUCAAAAGUUAGCUUUUAUGUCACCAUAUCCCCUCCUUUUCCUCAUCUGUCUCUGUACAUCUUUUUUUUUUGGGGGGGGGGUGAAGAAAAAGAUUACAGUCUCAAUAGAGAUGUAUAGGAGAGUAGGGAGGAAUGUUAAUCAAGUGAAAAGAUUGAGAUGUAUGAAAGUUUUAAGAUCAGAGACCAUAUGUUUGUUAUGACAAUAAUCUGAAUGGCUUAAUAUUUUACUUAGGAGUGUUCAACCUUCUAGGUACCAAGAUGUCAUUGAUCCUGUGUUGGGAAUUUGCCAGGUAAAUGCAGUAUAGGAAGAGACAUCUAUCUGAAGGUGUUGGUGAUGAGUAGUUCAGAUAGCCAACUACUUAGAGUCCUUUUAGGGGAAUGCUCACGGACUCUGAGGAAAUGAAGACCCAGGAGGUGGAGGACUCAAUGAAUUUGAAGAGCAGAUAUGUUCAAGUGAGGGUCCUGAGAGCUUUGGGGGAAAGAUGGUUGGGUUAGAGAAUUACAGUGGUUGUAGUUAAUGGUAUGGAACAAUUCUGGUUGAAGACAAGUCUCAGGGUGUAUGCUGGCAGUGUGGGGAAGUCUAAUUGGAGUGGAGGUGAGAAUUGUUAUUAUGUAUUUGAGGCCAAGGAACAGCAGAUUGAAGGUACUAGGUGGAUUGCUCCCAAAGACACUGAAGUUUUCUGGAACAAUGGCAGAUGUUGGGUUUGAGGGGAGGAGUGUUCUGUUUUAAAGCAUAUGACCAGGAGGUCAGUAGAUGAUAGAAACAUGUAAGUGUACAUAGUGGUAUUGUCAGAUGUCAGAUACCAGGAUGGAGCUGUGGUGGUGCUAAAGUGGCACUAAUGGGUUAAUAAAUUAUAACCCCUAUUCUUAGUUCUAUGGUAGGUGAAAUGUACAGCUUAAUGUGGGGAGAUGUUGCGUUUAUUGGUUCUUUUUCUUUUACAGAAAGGAUGAAGAUUCCAGAGGGUUUAGUGGUUUGAGGAGAGAAGCCAGGGAGAAGAGGUACCGAGCAUGAAGGGGUUAAGAACAGGGGAUGGAAACUGACUUCCUUUUGGCAUAUGAGGAUUAUAGGGAUGGAAGCCUUAAUUGGAAUUAAUUGACCACAGACAUUCCAAAGGCGGAAUUAGUCAUAACAAAGAUGUCUUGGGGUCUGAGUUGGGGUCUGACCCAGUCAUGUGUGGGUGAACUCACUGUGUGGGGACUGGGGUCAUCAAGCCUCUGAACAUGGACCCCCUCCUGUGUGCAGGAUGGAGGAUCCAGCCUCUUUUCCCUGGGGUGGUCUCAAGAUGCACCAAGUGGCCACAUGCAGGGUAGUUGUCAUUUAACAUCUCAUUUCCAGCCUCACAAUAAACCUGUAUCCCUGGAGUUGUGAAGAUUCAACACAAUCAUUUGUGGGAAAGCACUUUAACAACUAUAAUCACAAUAAGUUUGCUGAGUUUUAGUGUUCCCCACACCUUUGAUGUAUUUCCUUCUAUGCUUUUCCAUGUAACUGUAACAUAUUCCUUAAGAUAAUAAGGACUUCCCUCUAAUAAGGACAAAGCCAAGAUACUUUAUUUACAGUGUUAGCCUGGCACCUGGGCUGAUUCUCUGUACUGUUUAUAUAGUCUUGAUGUGGACUGGCAUCUUUCCCUGGACCUUUGAGUAUCUUCCUCAGCAGCUUCUCAUGGCCAGAAGUGCCAUCUCUGUGGCUUUUUAUUACAAAGCCCAGACUCUCUUCUAGGCCACCCACCAAGUUCUUCACUCCUAAGGGUGCCUACAGCUCAAGGUUCAUUUGUAGAACAGAGCUGACUGACACACCCUAAGCAAGGGAUGCCAACCUCGUCUAGUUUUCCAGGUACCCCUUGAUGAUUUGAUAGAAAGGCAUCCACAGGAAAGUGGUACUAGAUUCUGAGAACUGCAGUUUUACAAUGUUCAAUGUCUUCCAGACUUUCUUGAGAGAGGCAGAUAUGAUCCUAGCCAAGAAAAAGUCCUUCCUUUAUUAAACCCCCUAUCUCCCUUUGAAAUUUAACUGAGACUGUACUUGAUUUUUUAGAUGUUAAAUUUUCUUGGAAGGGGAAAGAAGCUCUUGUGAUUGCAUAGGCUUUAUUUUUUUUAGGCAGGGAGGUGUUAAUUCCCAAGUAAUUCAUUAGCUUUGUUCUAUCAUCACUUUUUUGUUCAGUGCAGUAUCACACACUUGGUCAACUAUCAAGAGGCAUACAAAUUAUUUUUAGUAAACUGUAAGUCAGUCUUGGGAGAAAAAACUAAGCUAUCUGUUUCCUUUACUCAGUUUACAACAUUCCAGAGAAUUGCAUAGAAGGAGAAGAUACUUUUUUCUUCAGCGUCUGUUUGUACUCCAUCCCUUCAUACUGGGCAAAAGUGCCAUUUUAUUGACUUAUGUAGAAACUGCCUUAGGAUUAUACCCUGUAUGCAGAAGUUCUCUGAACUGUCACUGAUAUUUUUUUAGGCUUUAAAUGUUUCCCUGGAAGGCUGAUAAAUCCCACUGCCUUCUUUCUCUGAUGAGUGAGUGUUAAUCUUUCAGUUGUGUCCAACUCUUUGCGACCCUACGGAUUGUGAUCUGCCAGUCUUCUCUGUCCAUGGAAUUCUCCAGUUGUCCUCUGCAGAGCCAUCUUCUGGAAGAAAACCUCAACUGCCAAGGAUAAACACAUUUUUGAUUGUCUUCCUUUUUUAUAAGUCUGUGGAAAUUUAAUAUGUGAACAUUCUUUGCAUAAUUUUAUGGGCUCUAACAUUCAGAUGGAGACUAGCAUUAUUAUUUUUUUUUUUUACUGUAAGAAGAAAAUCUGUACUGUAUCUUCUGUUUAGGAGAUGGGACUUAAUCACUGUCAUCUUUUGUACUUAGUGGUGCUGCCAAGGCAGUGUGGUCAGAAUAAGGAUGGAAUUUCAAAUAAAAGAAACUUGGGAGAACAUGAGCUUGGUUGAGUCAUACAGACAACUAUCUUAGCUUCCUCACCUAACACAGCACUAAAAUGUGUUACUGCAAUUACAGAGUGCUGAUUUAAAGGGAAAAUGAAAAGGAUAAAUGCACAAAUGUAAACAGCUGUGCAUCUUGGAAGGAUGUGGAGAGCUGAGAUAUGAAGGAAGGAUAAGGCAUCUCUUUUAAAGCACAAAGCCCACAGCAGGAAGCAGUGCUAGCCCCAUAGCAAUGGUUCUGUAAUGUUUGUUGAUUGAGCUGUUUUUUGAAAUAAUCUGUAGCAUACAAAGCAAAGAGCCUUCAAAUAUCUUUAUAAAGCGUAAGAAACAGACUUUAGCAUUUCCAUAUUCAGUUACAAAACACAAGUCUGAAUUCAGAGUAUUUGUUGGGUUCCAGGUGAAGAAGGUAAAAGGAAUCAAUGAAAUUUGAAAAUGUUCAAAGCCUACUUUCCCCCCACCUCCCAAUUCUCCUUUCUCUCAUUUUCUUCUUCUUAUUUCAGGAAUCCAACAAAUUUUCUUUUGGUUCAUCAACCUCUUGUAUUUUGACUCAGACAAGACAACUAUAAUUCAUUGAGCAGGAACCAUGGCUUAUUGGACUUUGUAGCCCCCAUGCACAUCAUAAUCUAGUGCCUGGUACAUAAGAGGGAAUUACUAUAUAGUGGAAUGUUAGUUUGGUUUUUACUUUCUCUUCCUUUCCCAGAUAUUCCCCCUUUUGCAUUUGUAUAAACAUAAAAAGAACUUUUUCUUCAUUUUCCCCAAAUCUGAUAAGACUACUCCACACUCCCAUUUUCUUGUUCACAUCUGUGAACAUGACAGAAGGGAUCCUGGCCAUUGAGGAGUUUACAUGCUUCAACCAAAGGAGGCAGCACUGAACUCUAGGGAAGGAAAGUUCUAGACGUGAGGAGCUAUGAUCGAGUCCAAGAGAUCUCGAGAAGUAUUCCUGGAGAACUUGUGAGUUGAAGGAAAACAAGAUUGACUAGAUGAAACUGGGGAACCAGAAUGUCAGUGAGAGAAGUGUAUUCCAGGCAGACAGGACAGUCUAUCCCAAGCCUGGAUUUGAGAGAGAGAGCAUGAAUCAUUCAAGAAACCCGAGAAGUGGACUUUCUACAGCAGGAGCAUGUGAGGGUGUAACUCUUUUUCAGUGAUAUAGUGGGUGGUCUCUAAGUGGAUUUGCAAUGACAAUAACAUCAGUAUGGCAAUACCGUGUGAAUUCUUCUGGUAAACAUACAUGCUUUCUGGACUUGUUUGUUUGCUUGUUUUUCCAUGACAUGGUCAGUAAGUUAAGUAAAUGAAACCUCAUCGAGCUUAGAUAAUAUUUCCUGCUAAGUUCCUUAAACUCCAAAGCUGACAGUAAACUGAUGGUCAGCCUAAUAAUUGAGGUCUAAGAAGGAAUAGCCACACCCAAGUCAAUAGUGCAACCCAUUAGGCGGAGCUUUUCCUGGGCUACAGUGAGUCAUGCAAAUUAUGCCAAGGACCCAGGCCUUGGUCUCCCUUGCUAGUAGCUGUAGAUGUCAUCGUUCCUGUAACUGAAGACAAGAGGAAUGGCUUGCCUUUCUCUUUGAACAUUACCUUUCCUUGCCCAGGUUUUAAAAAAUUCAAUUCUCCCUGUAUAAAAAUAAUGAAGUGGAAUAUAGUUGUGGCACACAGAGUGAGCACCCUGUACCCAGAUCCCUGUCCUGCAGCUCCCUACAGCAAGCUUUUGCACUCUAGAGUCCUCUGGCACAAUAACCUCUGGCUACGGAGGAUGAUCAGCAAUAUUAUCAGUUAACAGAUUCCCAAAACACAGAGACGUUUUUUCUCAAAUUAAACACAACAGCUGAGGAAUAUUGAUAGGAAACACAAAUUGUACACUCAACAAACUUCAUUAAAAGCAUUCUCCAGGACUUCCUUCGUGGUCCAGUGGUUGAGAAUCUGCCUGCCAAUGCAGGGGACAUGGGUUUGAUCCCUGGUCCAGGAGGAUUCCACAUGCUGCAGAGCAACUAAGCCUGUGCACUCUAGAGCCCUUGCUCUGCAACAAAAGACGCCACUGCAAUGAGAUGCCAGCCCACUGCAACAAGAGUAGCCCCCUCUCGCUGCAACUAGAGAAAGCCUGCACAACAACAAAGACCCAGCACAGUCAAAAAACAAGUAAACAAAUAAAAUAAUUUAAAAAGUAUCCUUCAGUAUAUGCAUCAAAGAACUCCUAGGACAAUGAAUGCAACACUGAGAUACAUUAUAUAACUGUAUGGGUAUUAGGGAGCAUAUUUUCUAGUGCCCAGAUGCUUCAGAUUUAGUGAUGGAAUCUCAUUCAUUGUGUGAAAACCAAAUAAACGUUUGUCCUAAAAAUGAUCAGAAAGCAGGAUUAACUCUGCUUUAUGAACAUAUAAGACUGUAAAAUCAUUUGUUAUUGAUAGCGAGUUGGAUUGGAGUGUGUGUGGGAGGGAGAUGCAUUAUUUUAAAUUGUAUUGUAGGUGACAGAAUGAGAGUCAGUAAUGGUCUAGUUCAAAGGAACAAGAUUUCAUUGAUUCAUCAAAAUUUAUAGAAUGAUUGUUAUAUUUUGGGAACUGUAUUUGGCCCUGAGCACAUAAAGAUAAACAAGGCAUGCUCCCUCAUCUCCAAACGGCAGUGGAAAUACUCCUUGGAGAAUUUGUUGUUCAGUUGUGUCUGAUUCUUUUGUGACCCCAUGAACUGUAGACUGCCAGGCUCCUCUGUCCAUGGGACUUCCCAGGCAAGAAUACUGGAGUGGGUGCCAUUUCCUUCUGCAAGGAAUCUUCCUGACCCAGGGAUCAAAUCCAUGUCUCCUGCAUUCACAGGUGGAUUCUUUACCACUGAGCCACCAAGGAAGCCCCCUUAGAGAAGACAUAAAUGAAUACUAUACAAUAUGGUAUAUAUUCCAGUCUAGAUAGGUAGGAAGGCCUAAGUACAACUGAGUGAUCAAUUUCACUCGAGGGGAGUAUUGUAAUCAGGGAAGAUUUCAGAGGAAAAACGAUGUUUUGUUCAGUGAGUAAGCAUUUUGCAGACAGAUAAGGAAGAAGGGCAUCCCAGAAAGAAGGAAGAGUGUAUUAAAAGGCAAAAUGACAUUUGACAAUAAACUACACGGAGGAAACUACAAUUAGGAGGAGCUGAAGUGUGGGGCACACCAUGAAGCACUAGCCACAUCAAGGCCAUGGCAGUGGAAAUGUAACAGAUUCCUUCCUUUGGGGGGUACAGAGAGGUACUUAGAUCCUCCAGACAGUUCCUACAUUCUGAUAUUCUAAGUAAGACUUUAGUAGGAUCUCACAGAACCAGGAAUCAGAGCAAAUGCCAGUGACCUUAAAGGCAUUUUGUCCAAUGUAGUUGUUGAUUUUGCCUGACUCAGAGGACUUGUAGAGGAUAUAGGCCUAGAGUUUCUGGUAGUCAUUUUGUGACACAUAGAGCCUGGGAGCAGAGCAAUAUAGAGGCGCAUAGCAGACAGAUAGGAGAACAUUAGGUCCUGGCAACAUGAUUCAACCCCUGGAUUAAGACUCACCUGAAACAUGUCUACUGCUGGACCCAAACCAGUUUGAAUUUUUUGCUUAAGUUAGUUUUUUUUUUUCCCUUGUUGGUCAGUUGUAACCUAAUGAACCUGGUGUUUUUAAGGAGACUAAUACCCAGGAUGGCAAAGUCACUUGUUGUUAAGGGCCUCAUUAAAAAUUGAGAAUUUAAAGCAGGUCUCUUCACUUAGGUCAGACUCAGGAAUACCCAAAAUUUAAAAACUGUUUGCAUGUGAGAGUUUCAAUAUGAAUACACUUAGAAAUCUUUUUUGCAGUAACCUCAUAUUUGAGAGUACUCUUGCCUGGAAAAUCCCAUGGACAGAGAAGCCUGGUAGUCUGCAGUUCAUGGGGUCGCUCAGUCGGACACGACUGAGCGACUUCAGUUUCACUUUUCACUUUCAUGCACUGGAGAAGGAAAUGGCAACCCUGGAGAAUCCCAGGGAUGGGGGAGCCUGGUGGGCUGCCAUCUGUGGGGUCACACAGAGUCGGACACGACUGAAGUGACUUAGUAGCAGCAGCAGCAUAUUUGAGAGUGUGAUCGAGUUUAUUUUAAAAAUGCAUUUCUACAUAACUGAUUUAGAGGGAGCAUUCAACCAAGAUGCUGACAUUGUUGGUUCAUGGCCCACUUUUGCCGCUAAUUACCUUUGUGACCUUGGGCCUAUCUCUCUGGGCCUUCGUGGUUCAUGAGAUGUAAUUAUCUCUAAAUCUUCUUUUCUUUCUAUGAUUCUUAGCAUAAAUACACCCAAUUUUCAAUUAUCCAUUGUGGAUGUCACAUAUGGCUCUAUUCCCUGGGGAAAGUUUCCUUUUGAACUGUUUUGAUAUUACUGGGUUUAGCUUCACAAAUACUUACUUAACACUAAUUAGGGGAUAGGUGUUGCAAAAGAGAAUAAUUAUUUCUAAGCAGUAUUGCUUCUGUACUUUUGUAUUCUCAUAUGCAAUCUGAUAUUGUUUGCAGCUUCAAAGUACUAAACAAUGCCUUCUAAUCCAGGAAAUGUGUGAUUCCAGAUAAGAGUGGUAUUAGACAGAGGGAAGACCUAUCGCUGUGCAUCAGUUGGAAAGGUGAUGCCACAGCGUUUAGCAGUCAGAGGGAGGAACAGGGAAGAGUCCCAAGAAGCACAGGCAGAUUGGGAACCACACAUGUGUGCAAAAGCACAUUCUUGCCCACAUAGAAUGGGUUUUUUUUUUAUCAAUAGUCUUCCGCAGAUCUGCACCACAGUGAUCACUGUGGAUAACUGUCUUUUCAGAGUAGUUGCCUGUGAAGUUAACAACAACUUGCUAAUAUUUUAUUUACAAGAUAUUAUGAACACUUAAUGCUUGAUGAAUUCUUUCGGAUAAUCUUUGUGUAACAUAAUGGUUCAUUUGAUUCACCAAAGUAAUUUUCCAGCUUGUAUAAAGACCAGCUUCAGUCAGUUUCUUAGCCUGUCCUCAUUUGAACAGUUUUAUUGGCUGGAAGAUGACCCUGGAGUUCUGUGACCUCAUUUGAGGAGUCUUAGGGAGGGACAAAGAUGCUGGCUCUGUGGUUUGCUAGAGCUAGAUUCCAUUUCUUCUCUAAUUCUUGCCCGUCUGGCCAUGCACACAUGACCUGAGCUCUCUAAUCCUCAGUUUUGUCAUCAGUCAAAUGGGAAUAAUGAUAUUUCCCUCAAAAGACUGCCCAACACAGUGAUCAUUUACAGUAUAGCCUGGAUGUUACUAGAUAAUAAAUUAUUAGUGAGGUUUUCUUGGGACUGUGUUCAAGUGACACCUUAGGUUCCAAAGAGGAAAAACGGCAGAAGCAUGAGACAGUCUAAUUUUCAAGGUAGAUACAUAGUAUGAAGAUGCACCAUAGUUUGAUAAUUUCUUUUGACCAUAAGAUAAACUGGUAGAAUUUGUCCUAGUUAAUUACUACCUUGCUUUGUUACUUUGGGAAAAGUAUUUAGGCAGGUUCUUUACCAUCUGAGCUACCAGAGAAGCCCAUUUUACUUUUCUAGAUUUUUAUUUAUUCAUAGUUAUGUUGAGAAUAUUAUUGCUAUCUUAUUUCAUAGAAACUGAAAGAAGAUAAUAAAUAUGAAAGUCUCUAUGAGACUAGAAAGUGUAAAUGUGAAAGUGCAUGCUCUUAUAGUACAAUUAACAUUAAAAGUUAAUAAUAUUACAGGUCAUUCAUUUUUUUUGCAUAGUAAAAAUUGUUAUAUUUAUGUGUUGGCCCUACUGUUUAUUAAAAUAUUAUUUGCUCUGCUUAUUAAUUUCUGUGAGACUAAUAUUGCCUUUAUACUUUAUAAAGGGUCCUAGAGAGGCAAUAUUUGUCAGAUAUUUCAGGCAAAAGAAUAAAAAGGGAAUAGCUAUACAUGUUAAACAUAGCAAUUGUUAAUGUAUGUUUUUUUCUAUCAAGAAAAUAAUCCUUUCCUUCUAAGGAACUAUUAAUUUUUAGAACAAUAUUUCCACAACUCAAAAAGAUUGUGUGGAACAUGUGUUAAAUCAUAAAACAUUUCCCUCUGCAAAAUAUUUCUAAGAGCAUAUGUGCAUCUAGGCUAGGAAAGUAUGCAAAAAUCCCCUAGCAUUUUCAUGUCAAGCUACGUGUAUUUAAUAUACACCACCUCAAAGAAGAACGUUAUCACCCUAGCACUGUGUAGUAAGAAGAAAACAGAGAUUUCUAAGAAUAUAUGGGUGUAAUUUUCUGUUAACUGAAAGUGAUUGACAGUUCUUGGAAAUCUGCCUGCAAAAUAACCUCUGCGGCACCCUUAGUUUUAUUAGCUGUGAAGGAAACUGCUUUUUUCUUACCCAUUUAACUAUCAGAAGCUCUUUUUCUUUGCCAUCCUAAUUGCCUAAAUCCCUACGGAUAUAUUAAGUAAAAUCCAUGUUUAUUUAGUUUUUUUAAUACCAUUGUUUUUUCUUUUUUCCCAUUUGAGAGUUGACUGAAAUAAGAUCAUGUACAGAAAACUACAUGUAAUCUAGCUCUAAAGUCAUUAUAUGUACCUGGGGGAUUGCAAUAAAGUUUGAGAUCCUAGAAUUUUAAGGUGAUUUUCUGAAGAGAGAAGCUUUAUUUCAUUUCACGUGCAUGGAUACAGAACAACUAAAUUGUGCUGGUAAAAACUGUAACUCCCAAAUAAGAAAGGGGAACUUGGAAGAAAAAGUCAAGCAGAAUUUAUUUUAUCUGCAGAACUUAUGAAACUAUCAUAAAAAGAAAAAAAUUUGAUAGAAGAGGAAAUGAAGCACUUGAGAAACCUGUCUGGUCACUUUGGGAGACAUAGCACACUCUAAGCUAACUUCAGACUUCAUCUAUUUGCUUCUUUUUGCCUCCCAGUUAAACUCUUUCUCCAUGCCAACACUUGCAGGAUGCUGCUUACCCAGAUGCCACUGCUGGGAGCUAGAGCCUGGGGGUGGAAUGUGUUGGAGAAUGAGUUUCUUGGGACCAUUUUGCUUUUCUUGGACUUUACUGGGUUCCUGCGCUUCCCUAUGCCCCAUCCUAUCCUCGGCUCUGAGUUCAGAAAAAGGAUCUUCAUACUUAUGUAUCUUGGUUCAGAGAAAGUCUCUGUUCUGAAAAAGCUGAUAUCCAAAGCCAAAUCAGUUUUCUGUGGAAUUUUCAUAAGCUCGUAUCCACAAUUCAGACUUCCAUCUGUUCUGCCACGACGUUCUAGACCACUAUUCCUCCGUGCAAUGGGUAUACCGCUGGUGGUGGAAGAGAUUUUAGGCAGUAAUGGAUAAAUGUUUAGUUGCUAUAUACUAUCAAUGCAUAUAAAUAUAUUAGUUUUCUAUUUAUGACAGUGAUGUAAAGUUCCUUCUUUAAAUACAUCUAAAUGAAAAAUAUGAGUUAUUUAAAGAUGUUUAUUAAUAAAAUCUCAGGUAUAGUAAAAAACAUGAAGUUGGCAUGUAGCUACUUGAGGUUUGGGAAGCACAGUUAUAUACUCUAGGCUAUUUCCUUACUUAUCCUUAGGCCCAUAAACUAGUCAGAUUCUCUCAAAAGUCAGGAUGUCCUUGGCAUGUUGGCCUUUACUUUAAGAAUAUCAGACAAUGAUGAGGAAAUACACCUCAGGAGAUUCUAGGCGAUCUUUGACGUAGAGAAUGGUGAUAAAUAUGAAAGAAGGAGUCAUAAGGUACAACAGGGGUAGAGGAAAGGAUCUUUACUGUGAUGAAGAGGAGUUACCAGGUGGAGAAGAAAGGAAUGAUGUAGCCUAAGCUUAUUUCUUAAGCCACAGCUCCCAGUUGUGAGCUUUGGGGCUUUGUCUGGGGGAGAUGGGAAGAGUUAGGCUAUCUGUAACUUCAUUCCUGUUAUUCAAGUGUAUGUAGCUUGAUUUUUACGGAUUCUCCUGCAGGGGAUGGAACGGGGUGAUGAUCUCCUCUAUGACCAGUCUCACCCAAGGGGUGACAAGGAAAUAGCAAAAGAGGUGAAUCAUCUAAGGGAUCACCACUCAUCUGAAAUUAAGGAGCAGGAAUGAGAAGGGAUUUCUCCUUGUAUUUAAUACAUUCCAGAAAUGUCUCAUUUCAUUGUCUGAGAGUGUCUCACAGCAAGGAAACUAUGCAUUCCUAAGGGACUCUACUCAAACCUCUGCAAUACUUGGAGGGGUGAUGGAGGAACAAAUGUUGGAGAGUUUGCUCUUCUCAGUGGGGUUUGCAUCUUUCCUUAUGAAGUCAGGCAUGUUUGAUAGGAAAGUCAACUACUGGCAGCCUUAGCUUGGAGAGAGAGGUUUGUAUUCCUUUUCAAACUUUUUCAGAAUGACACAGAACAGGGGUGUCUAAUAGAAAUAUAAUGUGAGCUGCAUAGAUCAUUAUAAGUUAAUAAACACAUCAUAAAAGUAAAAAGAAAGAAGUGAAAUUAAUUUUAAUAAUAUAUUUUAACUCAAUAUAUAUCUAAAAUGUUUUAGCAUAAGAAUAUAUAAAAUACUGAAAUAUUUUGCAUUUUUUUCAUGUAAAUAUUUGAUAUCUGGGGCAUAUUUUCCACAUACAGCCCACGUCAAUUAGGAUGCUAAAUUGUCAUUGAAACUAAUAUUUAGAUUUUAUAAUGUUGAAAAACUAAAUUUAUCUAUCUAAAAUGUCUUAAAGUUUUCUCAAAACUGAGUUAAAUAUUAGUUUAAAUAAAAUAAUUAUAGUUUUUCAAUUAAGUUAAAAGAAAAGAAAACUUCAGUUCCUCAGUUCCACUAUCCGUGUGUCACGUACACAACUGCACAUGAGGCUGGGGCAACUGUAUUUGAAUGACAGGGUAGAAGAAAAAAUCAAAAUAAAAUUUUUGGGUCAUGUUUCAUUCCUUCUGUAAUGAUUACCAAAGUAGGAAUUUCUUAGCAAGCUGGCUGAUGAAAGUACAUUAGACAAAGGCUCAGAAAGCCUCGCUCUAGACCAAGCCCCAUCAUUGAUCAUGCUCUCCUGUAAUUUGACGAGAAUGACACCUGCUUCUCUGCCUUGUCAAGUUUUGCAAAAGAUGCCCUGAAGAUCCAGUGAAGUCCUGAAGGACAAAUUUAUGGGGCCUGAAUGGUCUUCAGAUGACUUAACAGAUGGUUCUCAAAAGCUUGUCCACAGGCCAAAUGACUUUCCUCCAUAUUUUUGAGCUUCUUUUUCAUCCAAACUUUUCUUAAAUAAAUCGACCAACUCUAAUUCCUUCAACAAUUCCCCCUUACACUCCCCAGGUCAUUAUUUUAAUUUCAGUAUCAUGGUUCUCAAGUGAAUGUGUUCUUGUUUGUCUCUCUGUUUCUUAAUUGCACUAUCUGGAACUGAAUGCACUUAAGAUAAGAUGUGACAAGUGUAAGGUAGAGUAGGGCAGUCAUCUUCCUGAUCUAGAUACCAUGCUUCUAUUAAUGCAGUCUCUAGCUUUUGUACUUGCUUGCUUUUCAAUUUUUUUCUUUUUUGGUAGCCACAGACAUUUGACUCAUAUCAAGCUUAUCAGUAACUGAAGCCCCUGUUUUCCCUCUUCCUGUACUUGUUUGAUUAAUUUUGUUGCACUUUCUGAAAUGCCUCCCCCCCCUUUUUUUUAAAAAACAAAACAAAAAAAAACCCC